rnacentral:rRNA from 1 species
UUAGGGCAAGUCUGGUGCCAGCAGCCGCGGUAAUUCCAGCUCCAAUAGCGUAUAUUAAAGUUGUUGCAGUUAAAAAGCUCGUAGUUGAACCUUGGGCCUGGCUGGCCGGUCCGCCUCACCGCGUGUACUGGUCCGGCCGGGCCUUUCCUUCUGGGGAACCUCAUGCCCUUCACUGGGCGUGUUGGGGAACCAGGACUUUUACUUUGAAAAAAUUAGAGUGUUCAAAGCAGGCCUUUGCUCGAAUACAUUAGCAUGGAAUAAUAGAAUAGGACGUGUGGUUCUAUUUUGUUGGUUUCUAGGACCGCCGUAAUGAUUAAUAGGGAUAGUCGGGGGCAUCAGUAUUCAAUCGUCAGAGGUGAAAUUCUUGGAUUGAUUGAAGACUAACUACUGCGAAAGCAUUUGCCAAGGAUGUUUUCAUUAAUCAGUGAACGAAAGUUAGGGGAUCGAAGACGAUCAGAUACCGUCGUAGUCUUAACCAUAAACUAUGCCGACUAGGGAUCGGACGGUGUUAGCAUUUUGACCCGUUCGGCGCCUUACGGGAAAC